rnacentral:lncRNA from 12 species
AAAAAAUAUGUAUGCACAUAUUUAUACAUACACACACACACACAUAUAUAGAUAUGUGCAUAUGUAUACAUAUAUAUACAUACACACAUGAAUAGAUGGAUAGAUAGGCAGAUAGAUAGAUGGAGAUAUAAAAAUCAUGAAUAUGUAUAUAAAAUCAUGCUUUCAGGUUGUCCCAGGAGAAGGCUGGUGGCAUCCUACCCCUACAGCUCCACAGUCCCCUCCGGGCACUGCCUGAAAUCAGGCUCGAGGAGGGCUUGGGCGAUUACUGGCAGGACUCUGGCGGCCUUGGGAGCAGUGUUCCGGCGAGCCCCGUGCGCGGCAGGUGGCGUCGCAGCUCCACGGGAGAAGGGCGGCUGCGGGUGGGAGGCGCGGGGAUGCGGGGAUGCGGCUCAGGGAUGUGGAGAUGUGGCUCAGGGAUGCAGGAUGUGGCUCAGGGAUGCAGGAUGUGGCUCAGGGAUGCAGGAUGUGGCUCAGGGAUGCAGGAUGUGGCUCUGGAAUGUGGGGAUGUGGCUCAGGGAUGUGGGGAUGUGGCUCAGGGAUGCAGGAUGUGGCUCAGGGAUGCCGGGAUCGGGCUUGGGAAUGUGCAGAGACACUCAGGGGCAGGGAGGAGGGCAAUGGGCUCGGUCUCUGCCAGCACAAAGAGUUUCUUGUGCUUCCCCAAGUUUGCCCCCGUGGCAGUGCUGGGGUUUGUUGGCCUCUUCUCCUUUGUGGUCCUCGUGGAUGUUUGUGUGUGGGAACUGUUGAUCCCAGGCAAAGCUGUUU